CUGGCCAUCCUCCCAAAGGAUCCCUAUGGUGCCAGACAGGAAUGGCCUGCUUGGGGACGCAGCAAGCUCCCAGGGCCUUUCCCACUGCUUCCUCUACCCCUGCAUUUCACUCAGCUCUCCAAAUUGACUCAGCUCCAGGUGCUCAGAGCAAAUGGACAAGGGAAAUGCAGGAGAAACUAUGAUGCAGCGGGACUCGCUCAUGUAUGGACAGCACUUUAAAGUAUUCACAAAAGCUUUGCAGACGUGAUCCCAUCUGAACCCCACAAAAGCCCUGGGAGGUUUACUAGAACUAAGACUCUGUGCUUCAUAUAAAGAAGCUUUUAUUCUACUACAGGCAUUAUUUUCAUAGAUCUUCUCUAAAAUGGGGAUUGUAAUUGUUUCUACCUCAUAAAGUUGCUACAAAGACUAAACAGAAUAAAGAAUUUAUGUAUGUAAAAGCA